CCUACGGGAGGCAGCAGUGAGGAAUAUUGGACAAUGGGCGCAAGCCUGAUCCAGCCAUGCCGCGUGCAGGAAGACGGUCCUAUGGAUUGUAAACUGCUUUUGUACAGGAAGAAACACUCCCUCGUGAGGGAGCUUGACGGUACUGUAAGAAUAAGGAUCGGCUAACUCCGUGCCAGCAGCCGCGGUAAUACGGAGGAUCCAAGCGUUAUCCGGAAUCAUUGGGUUUAAAGGGUCCGUAGGCGGUUUAAUAAGUCAGUGGUGAAAUCUGGUCGCUCAACGAUCAAACGGCCAUUGAUACUGUUAGACUUGAAUUAUUAGGAAGUAACUAGAAUAUGUAGUGUAGCGGUGAAAUGCUUAGAUAUUACAUGGAAUACCAAUUGCGAAGGCAGGUUACUACUAAUGGAUUGACGCUGAUGGACGAAAGCGUGGGGAGCGAACAGGAUUAGAUACCCUGGUAGUCCACGCCGUAAACGAUGGAUACUAGCUGUUCGGAGCAAUCUGAGUGGCUAAGCGAAAGUGAUAAGUAUCCCACCUGGGGAGUACGUUCGCAAGAAUGAAACUCAAAUGAAAUUGACGG
rnacentral:rRNA from 1 species